UAAUAAAAAAUUAGAUUAGGUCACAGUUUUAUAUAAAUUAUUAAGAAACAUCUAUUAAUAAUGUAAAGGAGAUUGAAACUUUAUUUUUUUUAAAAAAUCUUAAAAAGUACUGCAAAGGAAAAUAUUUAAUUUGCAAAAAAGUAAUGAGAUUCUCAUGUACCUUUUGUAUCAUGGCUUAGCUAGAUUUUAUUUUAAUAUCCUAAAAUUCUCGAAAUCUAAUGAGCUACUUUUAUUUUUUAUUUUAGUACCCAGAAAUUAGAUGUAGCAAAAUCUUUUUUAAAAAUAAUAGUAGAAAUGAAAUUUUAUUCGUAUUAGAUGAUAGCUAGUUUUCUUUUAAAGAUAUAGAAGUAUUUAAACUUAAAAAUAUAGAAUUAAAAUUAAUUUAAUUCUAAAAAAUAAGUUUAACAAUUUUUUAAGGAUAAGCUUAAAAAAUAUAAUAAGUAAUUAGUAUAUAAACCUUUUUAAAAUUUAGGCUUGAAACUAGCCAAAAUAUUAAAAUUUGUUAUAAUUUAUUUAGCUAAAAAGGAAAAGAUACAUUUACAUAUAAAAUAAAAGAAAAUUGUUAAAAACUUAAUUAACAAAUAUCAAUGCUAAGAUGAGUAUUUUGUAAUAUAUACAUAGGUUGAUUAUAUAAAAAUCAAAUUUUAGUAAUAAAUAGUAUAGAAAAAUUUUAUGAAGGAACUCGGCAAACAUCACUCUGCCUGUUUAUCAAAAACAUGGCUCCUUGAAAAAUUCUUAUAGGGAGUCGGACCUGCCCAGUGAUUAAAAAAUUUAACGGCCGCGGUACCCUGACCGUGCAAAGGUAGCAUAAUCAUUUGCCCUAUAAUUGAGGGCUAGUAUGAAUGGUUUGACAAGAGUGAUACUGUCUCCGUAAAAAUUUUUAGAAUUUAUUUUUUAGGUGAAGAAACCUAAAUAAAAUUAAAAGACAAGAAGACCCUAUCGAGCUUUAAAUCCAUUUAUGAAAUAACAGAAGUCUUUUGACAUUUUUAAUCAUAAAAAAUUUUGGUUGGGGCGACUAAGGAACAAACAAAGCUUCUUUAUAUAUUUUAGAUUUGUAAAUAAUGAUCCAUUAAUUAUAAUGAUUAAAAGAAUUAGUUACCGUAGGGAUAACAGCAUAAUCUUUUUUGAGAGCUCUAAUCGAAAAAAGGGUUUGUGACCUCGAUGUUGGACUAGGAUAUCCUGAAAGAUGCAGAAGUCUUCAAGGGUUGGUCUGUUCGACCAUUAAAAUCCUACAUGAUCUGAGUUCAGACCGGCGUGAGCCAGGUCAGUUUCUAUCUUUAAUUAUAAAAUUAAAUUUAGUACGAAAGGACCAAUUUAAAAUAAAACUUAUACAAUAUAGAUGAAUUAUAAUAAUGAAAUUAAUUUUUAAUUUAAAUCAA
rnacentral:rRNA from 1 species